UGGGUACGGGCAGGCUGGAGUGCAGUAGGGGAGACUGGAAUUCCUGGUGUAGCGGUGAAAUGCGCAGAUAUCAGGAGGAACACCGAUGGCGAAGGCAGGUCUCUGGGCUGUAACUGACGCUGAGGAGCGAAAGCAUGGGGAGCGAACAGGAUUAGAUACCCUGGUAGUCCAUGCCGUAAACGUUGGGCACUAGGUGUGGGGGCCAUUCCACGGUUUCCGCGCCGCAGCUAACGCAUUAAGUGCCCCGCCUGGGGAGUACGGCCGCAAGGCUAAAACUCAAAGGAAUUGACGGGGGCCCGCACAAGCGGCGGAGCAUGCGGAUUAAUUCGAUGCAACGCGAAGAACCUUACCAAGGCUUGACAUGUGCCGGACCGUCCCAGAGAUGGGGCUUCCCUUCGGGGCCGGUUCACAGGUGGUGCAUGGUUGUCGUCAGCUCGUGUCGUGAGAUGUUGGGUUAAGUCCCGCAACGAGCGCAACCCUCGUUCCAUGUUGCCAGCACUUCGGGUGGGGACUCAUGGGAGACUGCCGGGGUCAACUCGGAGGAAGGUGGGGACGACGUCAAAUCAUCAUGCCCCUUAUGUCUUGGGCUUCACGCAUGCUACAAUGGCCGGUACAAAGGGUUGCGAUACUGUGAGGUGGAGCCAAUCCCAGAAAGCCGGUCUCAGUUCGGAUUGGGGUCUGCAACUCGACCCCAUGAAGUCGGAGUCGCUAGAAUCCCAGGUCCAGAAUUGAGUUUGAUCCUGGCUCAGGAUGAACGCUGGCGGCGUGCUUAACACAUGCAAGUCGGACGAUGAAGCCCUUCGGGGUGGAUUAGUGGCGAACGGGUGAGUAACACGUGAGCAACCUGCCCUUGACUCUGGGAUAAGCCUGGGAAACUGGGUCUAAUACCGGAUAGGACCUCCUGCCGCAUGGUGGGGGGUGGAAAGCCUUGUGCGGUCUUGGAUGGGCUCGCGGCCUAUCAGCUUGUUGGUGGGGUGAUGGCCUACCAAGGCGACGACGGGUAGCCGGCCUGAGAGGGUGACCGGCCACACUGGGACUGAGACACGGCCCAGACUCCUACGGGAGGCAGCAGUGGGGAAUAUUGCACAAUGGGCGCAAGCCUGAUGCAGCGACGCCGCGUGGGGGAUGACGGCCUUCGGGUUGUAAACCCCUUUCGGCAGGGAACAAGCCCCUUGGGGUGAGGGUACCUGCGGAAGAAGCGCCGGCUAACUACGUGCCAGCAGCCGCGGUAAUACGUAGGGCGCGAGCGUUAUCCGGAAUUAUUGGGCGUAAAGAGCUCGUAGGCGGUUUGUCGCGUCUGCUGUGAAAGCCCGGGGCUCAACCCCGGGUCUGCAG
rnacentral:rRNA from 1 species